rnacentral:pre_miRNA from 1 species
UUAACUCAAACUUGUAUGGAGUUGGAACGUUUGCCGCUAGGGGCGUUGUUUCAACUGCAUACAAAUUUGAGUUA